rnacentral:lncRNA from 1 species
GUUACUUGCAGAGCACGUUGCCAGCUGGACUUUCCUUUGAUUUCACGAUGCUUAUCUUUAAGAGUCCAGUUUUGCAAGGCGAUUUUGAUGGUAAUUAGAGUUGGAAUGAAGUCUAUAAAUAGGGUCUUAAUAUUCAUUGUAAUAAUCACUCUUUUGCCCUAAUAUUUCGUUUAACCUUGGAGAAUCAUCCUGCGAGCGCUGCAACCAAAGACUUAGGCUUUUCCUGUUUUCAUUGCUUUUGUAGUUUUCGAGUCUUGUUUAUUUCGACUUCAAGUUUAAUUCUGUUUAGUUUUCUUUUCGAAGUUGUAAUCAAGUGAUAGUGGUUGCACCUUCGAGACGUUUUAUGGUAUUCCGUAUUUAUUUUAAUUUAUUUGCUUUGCUA